AGCGAACGCUGGCGGCAGGCCUAACACAUGCAAGUCGAACGAACCUUUCGGGGUUAGUGGCGGACGGGUGAGUAACACGUGGGAACGUGCCUUUAGGUUCGGAAUAACUCAGGGAAACUUGUGCUAAUACCGAAUGUGCCCUUCGGGGGAAAGAUUUAUCGCCUUUAGAGCGGCCCGCGUCUGAUUAGCUAGUUGGUUGAGGUAAUGGCUCACCAAGGCGACGAUCAGUAGCUGGUCUGAGAGGAUGAUCAGCCACAUUGGGACUGAGACACGGCCCAAACUCCUACGGGAGGCAGCAGUGGGGAAUCUUGCGCAAUGGGCGAAAGCCUGACGCAGCCAUGCCGCGUGAAUGAAGAAGGUCUUAGGAUUGUAAAAUUCUUUCACCGGGGACGAUAAUGACGGUACCCGGAGAAGAAGCCCCGGCUAACUUCGUG
rnacentral:rRNA from 1 species